UACGUAGGGUGCAAGCGUUAAUCGGAAUUACUGGGCGUAAAGCGUGCGCAGGCGGCUAUGCAAGACAGAUGUGAAAUCCCCGGGCUCAACCUGGGAACUGCAUUUGUGACUGUAGAGCUGGAGUACGGCAGAGGGGGAUGGAAUUCCGCGUGUAGCAGUGAAAUGCGUAGAUAUGCGGAGGAACACCGAUGGCGAAGGCAAUCCCCUGGGCCUGUACUGACGCUCAUGCACGAAAGCGUGGGGAGCAAACAGG
rnacentral:rRNA from 1 species